rnacentral:rRNA from 1 species
GAUGAGCGCUGGCGGCGUGCCUAAUACAUGCAAGUCGAGCGAAUGGAUUAAGAGCUUGCUCUUAUGAAGUUAGCGGCGGACGGGUGAGUAACACGUGGGUAACCUGCCCAUAAGACUGGGAUAACUCCGGGAAACCGGGGCUAAUACCGGAUAACAUUUUGAACCGCAUGGUUCGAAAUUGAAAGGCGGCUUCGGCUGUCACUUAUGGAUGGACCCGCGUCGCAUUAGCUAGUUGGUGAGGUAACGGACCACCAAGGCCACGAUGCGUAGCCGACCUGAGAGGGUGAGCGGCCACACUGGGACUGAGACACGGCCCAGACUCCUACGGGAGGCAGCAGUAGGGAAUCUUCCGCAAUGGACGAAAGUCUGACGGAGCAACGCCGCGUGAGUGAUGAAGGCUUUCGGGUCGUAAAACUCUGUUGUUAGGGAAGAACAAGUGCUAGUUGAAUAAGCUGGCACCUUGACGGUACCUAACCAGAAAGCCACGGCUAACUACGUGCCAGCCGCCGCAGUAA